UACGUAGGGUGCAAGCGUUGUCCGGAAUUAUUGGGCGUAAAGAGCUCGUAGGCGGUCUGUCGCGUCUGCUGUGAAAGACCGGGGCUCAACUCCGGUUCUGCAGUGGGUACGGGCAGGCUAGAGUUCGGUAGGGGAGACUGGAAUUCCUGGUGUAGCGGUGAAAUGCGCAGAUAUCAGGAGGAACACCGGUGGCGAAGGCGGGUCUCUGGGCCGAUACUGACGCUGAGGAGCGAAAGCGUGGGGAGCGAACAGG
rnacentral:rRNA from 1 species